AGUGAACGCUGGCGGUAGGCCUAACACAUGCAAGUCGAACGGCAGCACAGUAAGAGCUUGCUCUUACGGGUGGCGAGUGGCGGACGGGUGAGGAAUACAUCGGAAUCUACUUUUUCGUGGGGGAUAACGUAGGGAAACUUACGCUAAUACCGCAUACGACCUACGGGUGAAAGCAGGGGAUCUUCGGACCUUGCGCGAUUGAAUGAGCCGAUGUCGGAUUAGCUAGUUGGCGGGGUAAAGGCCCACCAAGGCGACGAUCCGUAGCUGGUCUGAGAGGAUGAUCAGCCACACUGGAACUGAGACACGGUCCAGACUCCUACGGGAGGCAGCAGUGGGGAAUAUUGGACAAUGGGCGCAAGCCUGAUCCAGCCAUACCGCGUGGGUGAAGAAGGCCUUCGGGUUGUAAAGCCCUUUUGUUGGGAAAGGAAAGCAGCAGGUUAAUACCCCACUGUUCUGACGGUACCCAAAGAAUAAGCACCGGCUAACUUCGUG
rnacentral:rRNA from 1 species